rnacentral:rRNA from 1 species
UACGGAGGGGGCUAGCGUUGUUCGGAAUUACUGGGCGUAAAGCGCACGUAGGCGGGUCUUUAAGUCAGGGGUGAAAUCCUGGAGCUCAACUCCAGAACUGCCUUUGAUACUGAAGAUCUUGAGUUCGGGAGAGGUGAGUGGAACUGCGAGUGUAGAGGUGAAAUUCGUAGAUAUUCGGAAGAACACCAGUGGCGAAGGCGGCUCACUGGCCCGUUACCGACGCUCAGGCGCGACAGCGUGGGGAGCCAAACAGGG